UAUCAAGAAAAGGUGUGUGAUGUACAUAUGUGAUGGAUCUCUGGUCCUCAAGGAUCCCAGAACUUUUGUGGAAUGAGUCUUGGAGAACUUCUGUCAAUGUACUUUGACAUUGUCACUGGAGAAGGACAGAAAGAGGCCUACCACAUACCUAUUCUACACCGAUGCCUCAGCCACAUCAUGAAAAAUGCAAAGGACCUUUGCCGGAAGCAUGCUUACAAACAGUACCACCUGGCUAUGCACGUCUUCGGGCUGAUGACACAAGCCACCACGCUCCAUGAGCUUGAUGACAUAGUCCGCAGCACUAAUGUGGUGUUCUCGAGCUCAUGCAGUGGACAGCAGGUUGAAAAACAUUUUCACAACCUGCAAAGACUUCUGACCCCCUGAAAUAGAUGAGAGAAAAAUAGAGGAGGAAAACUUGGUGAAGGAUGUGGGACCAACACUAUUCCAAAGGCACUUUGAUCUUGUCAUACAUGACGGAGUUCUGGACCAAAAUGGUGAACCAAAUGUGAACCUCUGCCCAACAUUUGUGCCUUCACUAGAGAGGUACUUUCUGCCCCACGCUGCUCUUUGGUCUAGUAUCAUGCUAGGUGACCUUAGCCGCCAUGGUAAAGGCCCUCUGUAUCUAACAAAAGAACGCAGGUCAUAACAGAACUUCAGAAAGGACAACCGUACCCAGGGGAUCAUGGAAAAGAGCCAGUGGGACCUGAAAAGGGUCCGUUUCCAACGACGCACUUUUACCAGGCUUGAUGACUUUGUCCACGCAUAUCGGCUGACACAUAAUGCCCUUUUAAAGGAGUACAAGGACUCUCUGCGUUCCAUUCAGAGGAAACACAGAGUUGACCUUGAAUGCUGGAAGCAGAGGAAGCACAAGCGAAGAGGAGUUUAUGUGACCCCUCUUUCAAAGGCAUUUGUUUUCAAGAGCCACAAAGCAAAGAGACUACUUCAAAAUGAGGAGGAUCUGCCACAGUAAAACAGACUGGGGGGACAUAAAACUGAAAGGGACUGUCAUGCACCACCCAGUCCAACAGGACAGCAGCAGUUGUGGUGUCAUAGUCACUAUGAACCGAUCAGAUCGAUCAGAACCUGCUGAAGACCUUUCAGUGUGGAUGGCAGCGGUCCAGAGGACCAGAGGCUGGGGUGCAGGACCUGAGGCCAGUGGAGCCAGGGAAUCAGACUGCAGCUCAACGGGAACAGGUGUCGGCCGCCGACGAGGAACCGGGAGCACAAGAGGAGGACAACUACAAAAUAAAACAGGAACUACAGGCAGUCCACAGAUGAUCCAACAGGAUGUAAAGAGUUCUGGUCCUGCUGCUGCUGUAUGAUCCGCUCCACUUUCUGUGGAGUCCCAG